ensembl:lncRNA
UCCUUCCUUAGUUGCUCUGUUAAUUUCUGAAAAUAUUACGACUAAUCACUUUAACAAUCAGCCUUACUGUAUAUACUAUACUUUUCUAAUUUUUCAGGGAAAUGAUGGUCUAGAUGGACCUCCUGGUCCACCAGGUCUUCCAGGUCCACCGGGCUUAUCUCUGAACCUAACACUGACUCAGCUAAAAGACCUCAUGUACCUCUCCGACAAGUCCAACUAUCCACUUAUUAAGACCCUGCUAGACUCCCUUCAGCAAGACCUGCGAUUCUUCAUAGAUCCUCCAGAUGGCACUAAGGAGCAUCCAGCCACCACCUGCUUAGAGUUGAUGCUCAGUCAUCCUAACUUAACCAGU